rnacentral:rRNA from 1 species
GGGGAAUUUUGCGCAAUGGGCGAAAGCCUGACGCAGCAACGCCGCGUGAGUGAUGAAGGCUUUCGGGUCGUAAAGCUCUGUCAAGGGGAAAGAAGUGUAUUGUGGCUAAUAUCCACGAUACUUGACGGUACCCCUGAAGGAAGCACCGGCCGACUCCGUGCCAGCAGCCGAGGUAAUACGGGGGGUGCAAGCGUUGUUCGGAAUUAUUGGGCGUAAAGCGCGUGUAGGCGGUUUGUUAAGUCUGAUGUGAAAGCCCUGGGCUCAACCCAGGAAGUGCAUUGGAUACUGGCAGACUUGAAUACGGGAGAGGGUAGUGGAAUUCCUGGUGUAGGAGUGAAAUCCGUAGAUAUCAGGAGGAACACCGGUGGCGAAGGCGGCUACCUGGACCGAUAUUGACGCUGAGACGCGAAAGCGUGGGUAGCAAAC